rnacentral:rRNA from 1 species
UACGUAGGGGGCGAGCGUUGUUCGGAUUUACUGGGCGUAAAGGGCGCGCAGGCGGCGAUCUUUGUCAGGCGUGAAAGCCCCGGGCUUAACCUGGGAACUGCGCUUGGGACGGGAUUGCUGGAGACCGGGAGAGGAGAGUGGAAUUCCCAGUGUAGAGGUGAAAUUCGUAGAUAUUGGGAAGAACACCGGUGGCGAAGGCGGCUCUCUGGACCGGAUCUGACGCUGAGGCGCGAAAGCGUGGGGAGCGAACAGG